GUAGUGCGUCCGGCCGAGCGCGCACUGGUAUAGUGGAGACGUGCGUUCGGCUGAGUGGAGCACUCACCUCUUAAUUUAAUUCUGAUAGAUCUCUCUCUUCACCCUCUUUCCUUCAGUUUCUCAGAUUCAAUUCUCUCCUCCUUCUCUCUUCACUCUCUGCACCCUUCUCUCUCUAAGAAAUCACCACUGCACCUCCUCCAUUCCACACUCCGGCAAGAUUGAAGGACGCUCGGCGUAGGAGUUCCAGAGAGAACGUUCGACUGGUGAAGCUGUAGAUUAACGAGCGCUUGUUAUUGGAAUUUGAGUAGAGAAUCUGUGAACGUUCGUCAUUUCCGGAGGGAGAUGAGCGUUUGGAAGAAGCAUUGAAUGAAGAGAGCCUGGUUGAUGUUGAAGUGAAGAUCGAGCAGUGAGAUCGCUCGGCCAGUAUUGUAUUUAGUUGAAUUGAGUGGUCGUUCGACCAUCUCUUGUUUUCUUUUGAGUUAAUUCGACCGUUCGGUAUUUAUCCUGUUUAAAACCGUUCGGUCAGGUUUCUUGUACGUUUAUCUUAAAUUUGUAAAACUCUUAUGUGUGGCGUGCGACUUUUGCACAUUCGUCCGUUAUGUUGGAUUUGUACUCAAGGACGUUCGUCCUUGAGCUUUCGUUCGGGUUUUAUUUUGUUUUUAGUUGGAAAACUGUAUUGAAAUAUUAUUAAAUGUGAUUUUCUGAUUUUAUGGUGU